AUUGAACGCUGGCGGCAUGCCUAACACAUGCAAGUCGAACGGUAACGGGCCUUUGGGUGGCGACGAGUGGGGAACGGGGGAGUAAUACAUCUGAAUGUGCCCGACUGUGGGGUAUAAUGAGGCGAAAGCUUUGCGAAUACCGCCUACGAGCUACGCCUGAAACCUGGGGACCGCAAGGACUUUUGCGGGCGUAGCGGCCGAUGGGGGAUUUGGUAGUUGGUGGGAUAAAAGCUUACUAAGCCGACGAUCUGUAGCUGGUCUGAGAGGGUGUGCAGCCACACUGGGACUGAGACACGGCCCAGACUCCUACGGGAGGCAGCAGUGGGGAAUGUUGGACAAUGGGCGCAAGCCUGAUCCAGCCAUGCCGCGUGCAGGAUGAAGGCCUUCGGGUUGUAAACUGCUUUUGUAGGGAACAAAAAGCCUUCUUUUAAUACAAGGGGGUCAUGACGGUACCGUAAGAAUAAGCACCGGCUAACUACGUG
rnacentral:rRNA from 1 species